rnacentral:lncRNA from 1 species
GUAUAUUUUUAACAGAGUGCCUUCAAAGUUUGUUCCUAGCACUCCAUAUGAAUUAUGGAAUAAAAGUCUAGUCUUAAACAUCUUAAGAUAUGGAGCUAUCCUGCUUAUGUCAGAAAUAUUUUUGGUCAUAAGUUAAGUAUAAGGUUAGACAAAUAUAUAUUUGUGGGAUAUCCUAGAAAAACUAAAAGAUAUUAUUUCUACCACCCUA